rnacentral:rRNA from 1 species
UCGCACCUACCGAUUGAAUGGUCCGGUGAAGCCUCGGGAUUGUGGUCUGGUUCCUUCAUUGGGGCCUGACCGCGAGAACUUGUCCGAACCUUAUCAUUUAGAGGAAGGUG